rnacentral:misc_RNA from 1 species
GCAUCUCAAUAAAAAUAUAAAUGCCUUGCUGUUUCAGUCCUCUCAUCAACAUGGUACUAUUAUUCAUAUUUCCUAAGGAUAAAACCUCUCCAACAAUUUCGUUACUUGCCUCACUAAGAUGCAAAACCCCAAAAUAGAUCAUUACAUGAAUAAACAACCAAAGUGCUAAUGCGUUGAAACGGUAACUACUAUCAUACUCCAUACAGUCCAGUUGAUGAGCCAUCUCAUCACAAAUAGUGUUUGAAAGAAGGCCACAAUUUUUAGUUAUACAAUUGGAACUUCAAAUCAGG